rnacentral:rRNA from 1 species
UACGUAGGGUGCAAGCGUUGUCCGGAAUUAUUGGGCGUAAAGAGCUCGUAGGCGGUUUGUUGCGUCGGCUGUGAAAUCCCGAGGCUCAACCUCGGGUCUGCAGUCGAUACGAGCAAACUAGAGUGUUGCAGGGGAGACUGGAAUUCCUGGUGUAGCGGUGAAAUGCGCAGAUAUCAGGAGGAACACCGGUGGCGAAGGCGGCUUUCUGGACGACAACUGACGCUGAGACGCGAAAGCGUGGGGAGCAAACAGG